UAUAUAUUUUAUAUAUUUUGAAUAUUAUUUUAAAAGUAAUCAUAUAUUCGUGCGGAUCCAACACUAGUUAUCUAUACUAUUAAAAUAAAAGUCAAAUAAGAAUUAUCCCAUAGAGUUAUUAGAGCAUGAGCAGCACCGAACCUUGCAAUUCCCGAUUUCCAAUGUUUUUUUUUAUUAUUUUAAUAUUUUUUUUUCGUUUGACUUUGAAAAAAUAUAUAUAUAUAUAUAUAUAAAAGAAUCUAUCGCGGGCCGCCACGUGUCGUGGGGCCUGCGGAACAAAACGGUAUCACUCCAGCGAACCUGCACGAGCCGGAUUCAUUAAAAUUUGAUUAUUUUAAUAUUUUUUUGCCUCAAAAAUCGUGUGAACUCUAGUGUUGAUUCUUCAAUGCUGAUGGUCUUACACUCUUAUGUCACUCAACUAAUUAAUAAGCAUAAUUUUAAGUUUUUAUUGUCUUUUCCUUAUAUAAUUCAAAUAAAACUAAUACUUCCUAUAAUCUAGCUUAAUAAACCACGAUAUUAUAUGAAUUAAAGUAAAGAGAAAAUUUGUAAAUUUGGAGCAAACUGUUUUGAAAAAACAAGAUUUCGGCAACCAUUUCUAAUAGAAUUUUAGAUACUCGUAAUGUUCUUUAGUCCCACAAAAUAUUUCUAAAAUCUAUAAAAUUUUCAGAAUAUGCAGUCGUCAGUUUGUCUUAAUUUUAGAUACCAAAGCGAAAAGAUUUAAAUAUUUCAAUUCAUGUCUGCUUUAUUAACUAAUCACAUAUUACUGUGUUUAAUCUAGAAUAUAAUUGCAAAAAUUCAUUUAUUAUCAAAACAAAAAUGUGCAUUCACUUAUUAUAAAAACAAAAUGUGUAUUAAAACCUAUCUUUAUAUAUAAAGUAGGGAUUGCUUCUCUCCCAGGGUGUCCACCUAGGAUUCCAGCUCACUAAUUCAUGCAUCCUAGAGCUGACACCUGUCCUCUCUAACUAAAACUCAUCGUUUCAUUAAAAUUCCCGUUUGAUGGGCUUCGAUCUGUUUCCGUGUGUUACGUGUUUGGGCUCUAGAAUCAGGUGUUUUCGCGGCCGGGUAGAUGUAAUCGCUGCUUGAGCUUCUUCUCACUUUCGGAAACGGCGACCCUCAUGGAAUCCACCUUGGAGUUUCUGGGAGACGAUUAGUCACGGCCAAUCUAUGGUGGGAGCCGUCGUUCCGUGUUGAAUCGUCUAGAUUUCUUUUCACCGGCUAUGUGAAUCUGGAAGCGUCACAGACUGCAAUCGUUGGCAUUAGCGGUUUUAUUAACUCCUGCAUGAAUGGGCAAAUAGACUCGACGAUCGUUACGGACAGGAAUCGUUUCUUUAAAUCUUCUUCCUCCUUUCUUCACUAUCACCACAAGUAGAAAGAUAACCAUCAUGAAUGCUUGAGUCAACUGUAAUUUUUUCCUCAAGAUCUAAAAAAAGAAGAUUGAAUAAUCUAAGAUAUAGAAAAGCUUUGAAUUUGGUGUUUGGCGUUUUUUAUAAAUCUACAAUAUCAUUUUGAGAUCGAUUCUUCUCCUGUUUCAUUACAUCUCAGUGUUUGUUAAUUUUUUCUGCUCAUUUUAACAUGUAACUUAACUUCACUGCAGUUCUACAACAUAUUGUCUGAGUGUUUUUUUUUUACGCUCAAGCCAACCAGAAGUUAUUGGGCGUGGAUGUGGAGCAUGAGGUGAUGUCGCUACCAGUAAUGACCCUAAGUUCAUGGCUGGCUUUUCCUAAAUGCAACUUUUGGUACACAUUUAUAUUUACUUUGACAAAGAAACAAGUGACAGUGACACCUUCAUAUCCAGGUAGUUUGCUCUAGCUUUAACAAUUUAUUCUUGAGAAAAAUACGGCUGUUUUUUGUAGCUUUGGUAAUGGUGAGUUAGCCUCUUCCACAAGUUCCAUCAAAUAUGGUGGUGUUAAUAAAAUAGAAACAGUAACAGUGUCAGAGCUCAACACCUAUGUGGUCAACUCUAAACCUCAGGUACCGUGGGGAGAUGACCAUCUCGGAUGCGAUAGACUGGGGUGUGUUUGUGCUGUUUGAUGCAGAAAUGUCUAAGUUAACAAAUGUGCGUGCGGCAGGAAGCGGGAGAGCUCAUGAACUAUGCAGCUGAUGGGUAUAUAAAAGAGAAAGUAGCAUUUUUGUGACUGGACUUAGUAUUUACACAGUUCCUGUUGAGAUAUGUGAGAAGCUUGCUAUUCCUGAAGCUGAAUGGCCACGAGCUAUUGGUGAAUUGUGCGGUUUGAUUUAUAUCAAAGAGGCUCUGUUCUAACACCGCAUGGAUAUUUAUGUUUUAGCUUUGUCUCAACAUCGAUGGAGUGAAAGAAGACACUGAAUGGAUGUCAAAGGUAAGCUUGAAAAGGGGAAGGGAUAUGGCUGAACUGGUACCAAAAUAUGGUCUGCCAUCACUGGCACAACGACAUGGCUGAACUGGAAAAGUGCUGGAGGAAAAUAAG